UUAAUUUGAGAGUUUGAUCCUGGCUCAGGACGAACGCUGGCGGCGUGCCUAAUACAUGCAAGUCGAACGAACUCUGGUAUUGAUUGGUGCUUGCAUCAUGAUUUACAUUUGAGUGAGUGGCGAA
rnacentral:rRNA from 1 species